CCGGGCAGCACCACCCUAUAUAAACCUCACCCCAGUUAGUCUCGUCCUCUCUCGCCCUUGUUCAAAGCAACCUGACAGCUGUUUCCCCAAUAAACCCUUGCCUUGGGUGCUCCUGUUUCUGCUCAUUUUCUUUCAGUCGGGGACUCUGUAAGGCAAGGGUGUGCCCAGCAUCAACAUUCACCUUCUGAGGAGGUGGGUUCUGGAUCAGCCAUCCCUCUCUCUGAGGGAUAUUAAGAGGAACUGAGCAGAUCUGUGAUUGCGUGGAAGUAGCAGAAACUGAGGUGACAAUUGAGAGGUCAUGGCCAGGGCUACUCUCUGGUGGAUACUCAAAGGUCCCCCAGAAGAAACUAGGUCCUGACAGCCCAUCCUGUUAAUCAAAACCACCCCCAACAGCUGUUAAAGUUUCAGAGAUCCAGCCAUGGAUUCAUCAGCCUCAAAUUAAGAAGGCCCAUCUCAGCAACUCUUGGGAGGCCCACACCAACAAGACAAUUCCCUUAAAGAUCACUCUGAGGAGACAACACACUCAAGACCUGCUCCUGUCACUCCAGGCACUGACAGGCCAACAACACACAGCUGGCCUGAGGACCUCAACCCACGAACCACUGCUGUGCUUUCCAGACUUGAUCUUUCCCUGACAUCUUUAUUCUUGCCUACCUCAGAGUGACUCCCUUUAUUUUGGCGUAGGCUUAAUAACUGUUGCUCCAGAGGACUGGAAUACUUUCAAAGAUGUUUCCUCUUAGCUAUAUGUUGGGGUUUUAUGUUGGUAUUUGCUAUCCUAUCUUCUUUAGAUUGACUCAGGAAAACCCUGACAACUGGUGGAGUGUCCGAGGUGACAGGAAGACAUGGAUAGGUGCUAUAUCAGGACCUCUCCUUGGUACCCUCAUGUUAUUAACAAUCGGUUCAUGCUUUAUAAAUUGGUUCAUAUGCUUUAUUUCUCAAUGCCUUAACUCCAUUAAGAUCCAAAAACCAUACCAAUUGAUGGUAACUUCAAGGUCUGAUGCUUACACUUACACAUGUAAAAACAUAGACCAUCAAACAAGUUGAAGAUUCAACUGUAAUCAAAAAAGAGGAUGGAAUGAACAAGGAAAUGAUUUCUGACCAGAAAGAGCCUAUGCCUCAGGUAAUCAGGUAGCAAACAAAAGGCUCCUCCUAGCUCUGACCCCUCUCACACCUAAAAC
rnacentral:lncRNA from 1 species